UCUCUUCCCUCCUCUUUACUCUCUUUUUUUUUUUUUUUUUUUUUUUCCUUUUAUCAACCACGCCUCCUUGUCUCUCCAAUCCUCGUAUGGUUCUUCGAUGUUCACAAAUUAGUAGGCCAAUUCCAAUGCCAAUGCCCCCACUUUGUAUGCGCUUCCUCAUCAAGCGAACCAUAUCGUCCUCGCCUCAUCUCAGUCGGAGAUUAAAGCAAACAGAGAAUGAGAUUGUUCAGAUGUUCCGGCUUCCAAAUCCUAGAGGCCAAGAAGCCGCCUCGGCGGUGCCCGGUGCGCCGAAACAUGCGCGACCGGCCCGCGCAUUGGAUGAGAGGUUCAUCAGAAUUCUGAAGAUAUUCAAAUGGGGCCCCGACGCCGAGAAGGCCCUGGAGGUCCUCAUGCUGAGGGUCGACCACCGCCUGGUUCGCCAAGUCAUGGAGACCGAUGUCGAUAUCAAUGUGAAGAUCCACUUCUUUCGAUGGGCCGGAAAACGAAAGAAUUUCGAUCAUGAUCCCUCCACUUACUUGGCGUUCAUCCGAUGUUUGGAUGAAGCGGGGCUCGUCGGCGAGAUGUGGAGGACGAUUCAGGAGAUGGUUCGGAGCAAUUGUGUUGUUACCCCUACGGAGUUGACGGAGAUUAUUAGGAUUUUGGGCGAUGCGAAGAUGGUGAACAAGGCGAUCUCGAUCUUUUAUCAGAUAAAGGCCCGGAAAUGCCAACCAACAGCUCAGGCUUAUAAUAGCAUGAUCAUUAUGUUGAUGCAGGAGGGCCAUCAUGAGAAGGUCCAUGAGCUGUUCGACGAAAUGUGCAACGAGGGUCGGUGCUUUCCCGACACGGUUACUUACAAUGCACUUAUUUCGACUUUUUGCAAGUUGGGCCGCGAGGACUCAGCGAUGAGGCUGUUUGACGAGAUGAAGGAAAAUCGGAUGCAACCCACCGCGAAAAUCUAUACCACCUUGAUGGGUAUGUUCUUUAAAUCGGGGAAUGUCGACAAGGCACUGAGUUUGUUCAAUGAGAUGCGGGAUCAGUGUUGCGUCCCGAAUGUGUUUACUUACACUGAAUUGAUCAAGGGCCUCGGUAAAGCUGGGAGAGCUGAGGAUGCUUGUCACUUCUUUCUCGAAAUGCAACGAGAGGGUUGCAGGCCAGAUACCGUGUUGAUGAAUAAUAUGAUAAAUAUUUUAGGCAAGGCGGGACGGUUGGAUGAUGCCCUAAAGCUGUUUGAGGAAAUGUCUACACUACAAUGUGCGCCAAAUGUAGUUACAUAUAAUACUGUCAUCAAAGCGCUUUUUGAGUCAAAGGCUCGCGUAUCAGAAGUUGCCUCCUGGUUCGAGAAAAUGAAGGAAAAUGGAAUUGAGCCCAGUGCCUUCACUUAUUCAAUCCUCGUUGAUGGAUUUUGUAAGACAAAUAGAGUGGAAAAAGCUUUAUUGCUUCUUGAGGAGAUGGAUGAGAAGGGUUUUCCUCCAUGCCCUGCAGCCUACUGUAGCCUAAUCGAUGCUCUUGGAAAAGCUAAGCGUUACGAAGCCGCAAGCGAGCUAUUUCAGGAAUUAAAGGAAAAUUGUGGUUCUUCAACUGCCCGAGUUUAUGCAGUAAUGAUCAAACAUUUAGGGAAAGGAGGGCGACUCAAUGAUGCUAUCGAUCUCUUUGAAGAGAUGAAGCAGCUUGGAUGUAGUCCUAAUGUCUUUGCCUACAAUGCUCUCAUGUCUGGAAUGGUGAGGGUUGGCAUGGUUGAUGAAUCUCUUUCCAUAUUUAGAAACAUGCAAGAACAAGGCUGUGUUCCUGAUAUCAAUUCGCACAAUAUUGUUUUGAACGGGCUGGCGAAGGUGGGCGGCCCACAACGUGCAAUGGAGAUGCUCUCCAACAUGAAAAAUUCAACGAUUCAGCCGGAUGCUGUAUCAUACAACACUGUUCUUGGUGCUUUAAGCCGUGCUGGUAUGUUUGAGGAGGCAGCUAGGCUGAUGAAAGAGAUGAAUGCAAAGGGAUUCGAGUAUGAUCUAAUUACGUACUCAUCAAUACUUGAAGCGAUUGGAAAGAUCGAUGAUGAACCAACAGACGCAAUUCGCUAGUGUACAAGGAAUCCUCUCUCUCAAAGGGUGUAAGAACAGCAUAUUAGAACCCUUCAGCUUCUACUUUGGUUGAUGGAAAAAAGAUGUUUCCUGGGAUGGUAUUUAGCGAGAGGUAGUGUGAGUUAGUUGGAUAAAAGUGUAACAAUGGGAAUAUCACAAUUCUGACUUACUCCAGUGAUAGAAUUGCUAUCCUUACAGGGAUAUUAAUUAACUCCGAGCAGAACACAGUAUGACACCAUAGCAAUUGGGGCGAUAGUGGGGAUAUUUGACAUUAUUCCCACUUCAUUCCCCGACCAAACACUAAAUGUAUCGGUCAUUAUGUUCCUUUGAAAUGGCACUAGAAUGUUGAAAUGGUGCUCUAUGCAGUCUGUACUCUGUUGAACUGACAUGAAGUACAUGAAGUAAAACUUUAACCAGUGAUGCAGCCUGCAUCUGACAUUGUCUAUGGUACAUUUGAUUUAGUUGAUAAUGUCGACUUCAUUUGGUUUUCGAGCAGUCUCCUCUAGUUGCCCAGCUCAAUAUUUGGGAGAUGUUUGAAUGUUGAUAGCGAGAAGUGGAGCCUGGUCAAGUUAUCCAACGGUGACCAGUUCUGAAUUAUGCUUCUUGAACUCGAUCAGCCAUUGGCGGCGAGAAAAGACUGAACACUAUCUUAGUCAGUCGCGGUUCAGCUUUUGCUGCAGGCUUAAUAUUGCUCGAGGAAGCUAGCAGUCAUCUUUGCUUUCUUCAACCUCAUAUAUAAGAUCAAGCGGUGCCCACCAAUCGAAGUGUAUUCCCUCCAUUUUUACCUCACUCAGCUGUAUAGUACAAUGAUAGGAGUGUUUCGCAAUGUUAUGAGCAAUAAGUUAUCAUUCCGACAUGUAGGUUCAUUAACAAAUCCAAUAUCCUGUUCUGUUGGUACAAACAUGAGCAAUUUAUGUACAUGAAAAAAGGAUGUGGGUUACUGAUUUCUAUUCUAAACUUUUGUGUUUGCAUCA